CAGUGCUGAUGGAUCACCGAAAUUGUUCGCGGAUUGUUUGUCCUCAGAAGACGCAGGUGUCCAGGACACUUAUCAACAAUGGAAGUUCCCGUGGUAACGGCUGAUUGCCGGUUCCCCUUGAGAUGGGGUGAGGGUUUAUGCGUCAACCCCCGUGGGGGGUGAGGUGGAGCAGAGCAUCAUCAUCAUCGUCAUCAUCAUCAUCAUCACCAUUACCACCGUCAUCAUCAUUAUCGUCGAUGCAACGCAACAACUGCAACAAACCACAGAGAACUCCCCAGCGAGACGUGGGAGAGACGCCAUUCGGUGGAGUUGACAGAGCGGGAUGUUUGAGGCAGGAAAGUUAGGGGGUGAGGCGCCCUUCUCCUGACUGAAGGACAGAAUCUUGUUCGGAGCGGCGUGAGGUUUAACAGGUAUGUGAUAAAACCCAGACUGAAACAUGCGCUGCUCUCCUGCCAAUCACGCCCGGAGUUUCCUGUCUUCUCCAUACUCCCUGCUUUGUCAGUCCCGGCGAUGGUGGGCUGCCAUGGAAUUUGAAUUCAGGCUUCGGGGAGCAGCGGGUCGCGGUCCUGUUACUUCUCUCUCUCCCUUUCCGGAACAUUCUUUGUCAGGAGUCAAAGCAAGCAAAGACCUCAGGCCUGACCUUCGACCCCCGCAGACACUUGCACUGCAUCAGUAGGAUUUCUGGAAUUUAGCAGCCCGGACAACCUGCUUCCAAAUUUUCCACGGGAGCUGAGAAAUUCUCCAGCUAAAUAUGUCCAUGAACAACACCUCAAACUCAAACAUAGGGAAAACGUAACAAAGGGUUCAGUCUGUUAACUGCAUAUGAUUCUCAGGUGACCAACAGACUUAAAAAUGCACACACGGCUGAUUUAUUAUCUACUUAAAAGUGGCUUUUGGAUUUCAACUAAUUGCAGCGUAUUGCUUUGUUUUCUCUUUUUAGAAUUUUAUUUACUUUUAUUUAUAUUAUCAAGACUCGAUAUCCGACUCGAUCAAAGUUCAGCUCUUGCUCAGGUCAUAUUCUUUGUCUCCUUGCUUCCAUAAAAUGUGAUUUUACGCAAAUCUGUUAUAUAAUAUUCGUAUAUUCAUAUUGGAAGUAAAACCAUACAUGGCUUUGAUGGCUUUGCAGCAACCACUUAGGACGUGAUUAUGUCUGAAUUAGUAGGUCUGGUCUGGCUGCCGGCACAGAAGAAUGAAGCGAAGGCUUUUAAGAAUAAAGGAACAGUGCUUAUCUUUAAACGAGAGCCCCCAUUUUGAGUGCCUGCGCCUCUGAACCUGGUCUGAACGCGGUUCUCGCGUCUCUUCCCACGGCGUGAGAAACGGCCUGACUCGGCUCAGAAGUCGCUCUUGCACUAAAGACGCUGGUCUUUGCGUCAGAAGUACGUUUUGUUACCUGGCUUACCCGCGCUAAUUAGCCUUCAUCUGGGCAGCCAUUUACGGAGCCGUCAAGUGCCUGCAUUCAUAAGCGGUUCCCACUCAAACCUCUCUGCCCUCGGCUGGCUCUUUGGAUCAGCGCACGUUUUGUCUGAUAUCCUGAUUACAGCAUAUUCCUGCGCAACUUUCAGAAAAAAAGUCAUCAAACGUGAGAGUAUUAAACAACAGGGAUAUCGUUUUUAAUGUUCAUGAGAACAUACUACACAGU